rnacentral:rRNA from 1 species
GACGAACGCUGGCGGCGUGCUUAACACAUGCAAGUCGAACGGAAAGGCCCUGCUUUUGUGGGGUGCUCGAGUGGCGAACGGGUGAGUAACACGGGAGUAACCUGCCCUUGACUUUGGGAUAACUUCAGGAAACUGGGGCUACUACCGGAUAGGAGCUCCUGCUGCAUGGUGGGGGUUGGAAAGUUUCGGCGGUUGGGGAUGGACUCGCGGCUUAUCAGCUUGUUGGUGGGGUAGUGGCUUACCAAGGCUUUGGCGGGUAGCCGGCCUGAGAGGGUGACCGGGCACAUUGGGACUGAGAUACGGAGCAGACUCCUACGGGAGGCAGCAGGCGGGAAUAUUGCACAAUGGGCGGAAGCCUGAUGCAGCAGCGUCGCGUGCGGGAUGACGGUCUUCGGGUUGUAAACCGCUUUCGGCUGUGACGAAGCGUGAGUGACGGUAAUGGGUAAAGAAGCACCGGCUAACUACGUG